GCCAGAGCAGGGGUGUGCAGAGCCAGGAGCAGACACACCUCACACACACCUGCUGCUCCAGCCUGGGGCACCCCCAGAGCCCUCUGCAAUUCCCCACAGGGCUGUUCCUGCACUCUGAACAUCCCAAACCUCCUGCCCCCCCUCACUUCACUGGGACAUUAAAGAUUUCCCAGCAGGUGAAGGCAAGGUGACAUCCCCAAAAGCCGGGUGUGAACGGUGUCACCUCCCCAGAGUCACAGUGCAGGAGAUCCCUGCAGGACAAACGCUCAGCUCCAGGUGAGGGCUCAGCCAGGGGAGCUGACACACACACUUGGAGAUGACAUAAAUAAAUCAAGAGCCCCCUCCCAGCUCCCCCUCUCCAGUUAAGUAGGUCACUCUGCCUACUACGGAAAUCAGCUCAUCUUCAAAGCAGGUAUAAAUAGGAAGUGUGUGUGGUUGUCAGAAACACCAAGCUGAGGCACAGAAAGGAAGGACAGCUGGAAGGUUUCUGCCCUCCAGGUACUUCUGAGUGUGGCCCACAGCUACGAGCCCAUGUCCCUGACAGAGAGCCCUCCUUGUAACUAAAUAAGUAGCUGCACAAUGUUCAGAUAUUCCUGAAGCAAAGCAGAGGUGCCCCCAGGACUGCUGCUCCUUGCCUGGACACCCUAUCCCAUCUUUCCCAGAAAAUAUGGAGCAGUUUGAUGGUGUUAAACCUGAUUUUGACAACAUCUGAGCAUCUCAGUCCAACUGGAAAAAUGAUAAACAAAGUAAAGCAGUUUCUCCUGCUGGAAAAGUCUGGGCAGCCUCAGAAUAAAAUGACAGCAGAGAAGUCUCCACCCAGCCCUGUAGCUGUGGAGUGAAUAUGGAUAUCCACAUCCAACUUCUUUGGAAUUUCUGGAAUUGGAGCUGGGUGUUCCUGGAUAUGCAGAGCUGGACAUUCAAGGGAAUUCCAGGAGUUUCCAAACAGCUGCACAAAUGAUGCUGAAGGCCCUCAGUGGGGAUGUGAUGUCUAAGUUUUAUUCCUCCCUGUUCUCUGCAAGG